AGCGCAUACGGUGAAUGCCUAGGCAAUCAGAGGCGAUGAAGGACGUGGUAAUCUGCGAUAAGCGUUGGUGAGCUGGUAACAAGCGUUAUAGCCAACGAUUUCCGAAUGGGGAAACCCACCUGUUUACAGGUAUCUUAUACUGAAUACAUAGGUAUAAGAGGCGAACCUGGGGAACUGAAACAUCUAAGUACCCAGAGGAAAAGAAAUCAACCGAGAUUCUGUCAGUAGCGGCGAGCGAACGCGGAACAGCCUUUAAGUGAUAUUUGAUGUAUUAGAGGAAUCAGCUGGGAAGCUGAGCCAUAGUGGGUGAUAGCCCCGUACUCGAAAAUGCGUCAUUGGUACUAAGCUUAAGAGAAGUAGGGCGGAGCACGUGAAACUCUGUCUGAACAUGGGGGGACCAUCCUCCAAGGCUAAAUACUCCUGAUUGACCGAUAGUGAACUAGUACCGUGAGGGAAAGGCGAAAAGAACCCCUGUGAGGGGAGUGAAAUAGAACCUGAAACCGUGUGCGUACAAGCAGUGGGAGCCCUACGGGGUGACUGCGUACCUUUUGUAUAAUGGGUCAGCGACUUACAUUUAGUAGCAAGCUUAACCGGUAGGGGAGGCGUAGAGAAAUCGAGUCUUAAUAGGGCGUAUAGUUGCUAGGUGUAGACCCGAAACCCGGCGAUCUACCCAUGGCCAGGUUGAAGGUGCCGUAACAGGCACUGGAGGACCGAACCCACGUAUGUUGAAAAAUGCGGGGAUGAGCUGUGGGUCGGAGUGAAAGGCUAAUCAAGCCGGGAGAUAGCUGGUUCUCCCCGAAAUCUAUUUAGGUAGAGCGUCAUGUCUCACUCCAGGGGGUAGAGCACUGUUAAGGCUAGGGGGUCAUCCCGACUUACCAACCCUUUGCAAACUCCGAAUACCUGGAAGUGCAAUCAUGGCAGACACACUAUGGGUGCUAACGUCCAUAGUGGAGAGGGAAACAACCCAGACCGUCAGCUAAGGUCCCCAAGUUAUAGUUAAGUGGGAAACGAUGUGGGAAGGCCCAGACAGCUAGGAGGUUGGCUUAGAAGCAGCCAUCCUUUAAAGAAAGCGUAAUAGCUCACUAGUCGAGUCGGCCUGCGCGGAAGAUUUAACGGGGCUCAAACUAUACACCGAAGCUACGGAUGCACUUAUGUGCAUGGUAGGGGAGCGUUCUGUACGCCGAUGAAGGUGAGUCGAGAGGCUUGCUGGAGGUAUCAGAAGUGCGAAUGCUGACAUGAGUAACGAUAAAGCGGGUGAAAAACCCGCUCGCCGAAAGUCCAAGGUUUCCUGCACAACGCUAAUCGGUGCAGGGUUAGUCGGCCCCUAAGGUGAGGCAGAAAUGCGUAAUCGAUGGGAAACGGGUUAAUAUUCCCGUACCGACUGUGACUGCGAUGGAGAGACGGAGAAGGCUAAACUUACCAGGUGUUGGUUAUCCUGGGGAAAGUAUGUAGGUUGGAGACUUAGGUAAAUCCGGGUUUCCUUAAGACUGAGAUACGAGACUAUGAGACUACGGUCUCAAAGUAGUUGAUGCCCUGCUUCCAAGAAAAUCUUCUAAGCUUCAGGUCACAGUUGACCGUACUCCAAACGAACACACGUGGACGGGAUGAGAAUUCUAAGGCGCUUGAGAGAACUCGGCUGAAGGAACUAGGCAAAAUGGUACCGUAACUUCGGGAGAAGGUACGCCGGUUUUGGUGAUGGGACUUGCUCCCUAAGCUGAGGCCGGCCGCAGAGACCAGGUGGCUGCAACUGUUUAUCAAAAACAUAGCACUGUGCAAACUCGCAAGAGGACGUAUACGGUGUGACGCCUGCCCGGUGCCGGAAGGUUAAUUGAUGGGGUUAGCUUAUGCGAAGCUCUUGAUCGAAGCCCCGGUGAACGGCGGCCGUAACUAUAACGGUCCUAAGGUAGCGAAAUUCCUUGUCGGGUAAGUUCCGACCUGCACGAAUGGCGUAAUGAUGGCCACACUGUCUCCAGCCGAGACUCAGUGAAAUUGAAAUCGCUGUGAAGAUGCAGCGUACCCGCGGCUAGACGGAAAGACCCCGUGAACCUUUACUACAGCUUGACACUGAACUUUGAACCUACCUGUGUAGGAUAGGUGGGAGGCUUUGAAACCAUGACGCUAGUUGUGGUGGAGCCAACCUUGAAAUACCACCCUGGUAUGUUUGAAGUUCUAACCUCGACCCGUUAUCCGGGUUAGGGACAGUGUCUGGUGGGUAGUUUGACUGGGGCGGUCUCCUCCCAAAGAGUAACGGAGGAGCGCGAAGGUACCCUAAUUCCGGUCGGAAAUCGGAAGUUUAGUGCAAAGGCAUAAGGGUGCUUGACUGCGAGACUGACACGUCGAGCAGGUGCGAAAGCAGGUCUUAGUGAUCCGGUGGUUCUGAAUGGAAGGGCCAUCGCUCAACGGAUAAAAGGUACUCCGGGGAUAACAGGCUGAUACUGCCCAAGAGUCCAUAUCGACGGCAGUGUUUGGCACCUCGAUG
rnacentral:rRNA from 1 species